GUAGGUGGCAAGCGUUGUCCGGAAUUAUUGGGCGUAAAGCGCGCGCAGGCGGUUCUUUAAGUCUGAUGUGAAAGCCCACGGCUCAACCGUGGAGGGUCAUUGGAAACUGGAGAACUUGAGUACAGAAGAGGAAAGCGGAAUUCCACGUGUAGCGGUGAAAUGCGUAGAGAUGUGGAGGAACACCAGUGGCGAAGGCGGCUUUUCUGGUCUGUAACUGACGCUGAGGCGCGAAAGCGUGGGGAGCAAACAGGGAUUAGAUACCCUGGUAGUCCACGCCGUAAACGAUGAGUGCUAAGUGUUAGGGGGUUUCCGCCCCCUUAGUGCUGCAGCUAACGCAUUAAGCACUCCGCCUGGGGAGUACGACCGCAAGGUUG
rnacentral:rRNA from 1 species